UUGUCAUUAAUAUGAUCUUUAAUAAAUGGAGUAAUGCACCAUUUUACAGCAAGCCUUUUUUAAACCUAAAGAAUUGUCUUAAAAUUUUCUUAUCCAAUGCCUCUGUAUCAAUACAAUCUUUUUUUUAUUUAGGUUUGUAUAUAUCAAAGCGUUUACUUACAAGUAUUCAUAGAAAACUCUGUAGUGGCUUAAUGUCAGCUUUCAUAGUGGCAUCCAUAAUUGAUAAAAAAAGAAAAGUAAUUUGCUUUAUUUCAUAUUUCAUACUCACACUGUUCCAUCAAACACAACUUAUACAGCAUAGCAAGAUAUCAGACAGCUUAUACAAAAGCAAAGUAACUAAAAGUAACUAUUUAUAAAUUCAUACAUGAUAUUCCAUCCAUAAUUUUAGAGGAAUGGACAUCAAUUUAAGAGGAAACACACCAACAAAAAAAUACCCGUUAACAAGAGGGUUCUGAGGAGACUGAUUUUUUUUUUUUUUACACUUUCUUUUCCAGAAAAGCAUACUUAGACAUGAAUGUUCUCUAGGUUAUUUUUCCUGUCCUUUCCUAAUAACCACGGCAGCUAUAUAUCUCCAUGUUUCAGCUUCUACAAACACCAAACCCUAGAAAUUAGUGUAUUUUACAGUAAACCAUAUAUAGUCAUGUGAAAAAAGUCACCAACUGAAAUCUAAGAAUGAUUCCGGCUUAUACAAACAUCUAUGCAGCACAUUAUCUAAGGAAAAUGAAAAGACAAAAGCAUACAAAACUGUUUAAAUAAAUAAAUGUCUGAUUAAAAAAAGAAGCCACAUAAGCCAGGUCAUUCAAAGUUAAAAUGUAGGCUUAAUUAACUUUGAAAUGUAUCUUUUUUAGGUCUUUUGUGUUCCUUCAGUUCCUCAAAGUUAUACAUUUUGUGGGGAGGGUGCUAGUUUUCUUUAAAUGAUACUGAGAUGUAUUGCCUGAGAUGAAAGAUUGGGUUUCAGACUACUUCACUGGCAGGAUUUUAAAUACGUGAAACACCUAGCUUUGGGUCUUAACAUGCCUGAUAAUUUAGAAAACAAAACUGAACUGCAAACUCGUUUGAAUUAAAAGCAAUAGAUGGAGAGUAAUUUGGCAAAUUCCUGCAGGGCUCAACAAUGUGAAGAGAUAGAAGAAUGCUACCAUGUUGGGCUGUUUCUUGUUGGACUUCUAAAUUAUUUCUGGAUUUGUUGAUUUAUGUUUUGGGAAAAAAGUUUUAUAAAGUUAAGGAAGUUACUUACUGAGAAAAUUCUACUACAUAGGUGAGUUCCUCCACUCAAGCCAACCUGAAUAUUCAUUAAUUCAAAGGGUUGUAUUGGCUUUGAAGAUGGUAUUUCCACUAGAAGGCCAUUAUUUAACUGUGCAGCAACAUGUAGACAAUUAGUCUGGAAGGUUUGUUUGCUUCAGAACCAUCCUUUUAUUAUAUGACCAGACAAGUUUCUAUGAAUCUCUUCUCUUACACAAUGUAAUUAUGUAAAUUGAACGAAUCUAAGUGCAAUACACAGAUUACACUUCUGUAUGAGACUGGACCCAACUGUCUAAAUGCUAACAACUGAAGUCCGCAGUGUGCAAAGGGACAGGGUGGGCCCUGAGUGUUUAAGCAAGAUGCUUAAAGUCUAAAACAACUUGUUUUUUUUGAAAUCUACAAGUGCAAAUUAAAUGGUAAAAAAAUGAUAAAUUAUUGAAAAUAUAAUUUAAAAGUUACGUUUAAAAAAAAUUCAAUCCUAAAUUGAGGCCCUACAUGAUAUGAUUUUAAUCUAAAUUUCUUCCCCCAAAGAAUUUAAAAUCUAGGUGCUAAGUUUAAAACUGGGUUUAAAAAAUAAACCUGUAUAC
ensembl:lncRNA